rnacentral:rRNA from 1 species
AGAGUUUGAUCAUGGCUCAGAUUGAACGCUGGCGGCAUGCCUUACACAUGCAAGUCGAACGGCGGCACGGGGGCAACCCUGGUGGCGAGUGGCGAACGGGUGAGUAACACAUCGGAACGUGUCCUGUUGUGGGGGAUAACUAGUCGAAAGAUUAGCUAAUACCGCAUGACCUCGAGAGAGAAAAGCAGGGGACCUGCAAGGGCCUUGCGCGAUUGGAGCGGCCGAUGUCCGAUUAGCUAGUUGGUGGGGUAAAGGCCUACCAAGGCGACGAUCGGUAGCUGGUCUGAGAGGAUGAUCAGCCACACUGGGACUGAGACACGGCCCAGACUCCUACGGGAGGCAGCAGUGGGGAAUUUUGGACAAUGGGGGCAACCCUGAUCCAGCCAUGCCGCGUGAGUGAAGAAGGCCUUCGGGUUGUAAAGCUCUUUCGGUGGGAACGAAACGGUGUAGGUUAAUACCCUGCACUCCUGACGGUACCUACAGAAGAAGCACCGGCUAACUACGUGCCAGCAGCCGCGGUAAUACGUAGGGUGCGAGCGUUAAUCGGAAUUACUGGGCGUAAAGCGUGCGCAGGCGGCGCGUUAAGACAGGUGUGAAAGCCCCGAGCUUAACUUGGGAAUUGCGCUUGUGACUGGCGAGCUGGAGUGUGGCAGAGGGAGGUGGAAUUCCACGUGUAGCAGUGAAAUGCGUAGAGGUGUGGAGGAACACCGAUGGCGAAGGCAGCCUCCUGGGCCAGCACUGACGCUCAUGCACGAAAGCGUGGGGAGCAAACAGGAUUAGAUACCCUAGUAGUCC